rnacentral:lncRNA from 1 species
GCACGGACCACAGAGGCCCCUCCAUGUCUGACCCCAGGUGCCUGCGAGAAUACUGCUAAAAAUCUGCCUGCCUUCUCUUACAUUUUAAAAGUUUUUUUAGACGUGUGAGGACUCUCGUUUGGGAUCUUGAAAUACCGCUGUUCUCUGGGCCCCUCCCGGGGCCGCGUUCCGGAAUUUUCCCUUUGUUCUGGCCCGGAGGUUCGUCCUCUGGGCCAGAUGCCCUUCGGGCGAGGGUGCGUGGUGUGCUGGGGCAGCUCUGAAAAGGCUGGUGCGAGCUGGCCUCGGGCAGGACAUGGGGAAGGUGUGUCAGCGGUCACGGGUGUGCAGAGUUCCUCAUAGCCCAGCUUGACCUGUGCUCUAGAAGGUCCCCUUGGACCUCCAGGAUGAGCCCCCUCCACCGUGUGACCUAAGGACAUGCUUGCAGGGACACAUAGACACACGUCCCUGAACUCAUUUCUCCCUUGGAGAUAUGUAUUCUGUGCUCCCAUGCAUUUCCCACCCAGGGGUGUGUGUGUGUGUGUGCGUGUGUGCACGCGCGCGCGUGUGUGUUGGGGAGGAGGAAGGAGGAAGGUGAGGGGAGUGUGUGCCCUUGCAUUUCCCAUCGGGAGCACUUUUAUCCAAUUAGAUGAUUGGGUUCCCAGAGGGCAGGGCCUUUUGAAAAAAUGUGGCCCGGCAUAUCAGUAAACCAAGGAUGUUGCAGCCUUCUAGCCUCCACUGCCACCCCUCCCGCCUGGCCCCUCCCCUGGCUCUUCUGAGCUCCCCUUAGAGUUACCCCAGGGGCUGCAACCUGGGCUCCAGUCCUUAGUUUUGUCUGCCAGGUAAAACGUCAUUCUUCACUCUAAGGUUGUGCGGUUUUUUGUGGUUGACAAGUGGGUCCAAGCACACUGGCGACUCCUCUCUGAGGCCUGGCAUUUGGGAUCCAAACUGGCUUAUUUAUCUCCAUCAAGUCGCACCUCCUGAAAGCGGCGAUAAAUGGCCUUCGCAUGUCCCUUGAUCAUUCCGCCUGCCUUGGUUGCCGUCCUGUCACCUUCACCCAAAUCAGUGUCCUUCCCUUCCUAGUUCAUGCGUUGCCUGCUGUGAGCCCCUAGGAAGUAAAGGUGAACAAAGCUCUUGCUUUCCUGGACCGAGGGGUCAGGGGGUGUAGCUAAAUAAACAGACCACCGUCGCGUAACAAUAUGUGCUGCAGUCAGAUGGAUGCCCAAGCAAGGCCUCAGGCAGAUGAUGUUUGGGUUGAGACCCAAAGGAGCCAAGAAGGAAAGCCAUUCCUCCCAGAGCAGCAGGUCAGCAGAAUGUUCUGGACAGUGACAGCUUUUUAUAGGUGACAUUUACACUCUUGGAAUACGAAGAAGCACAGGCCUGAGUCAUGGACAGGCCCCAAGUUCCCAAGCCAAGGCCUUGUCCUUGCCUUUGUGAACUGGCCGGCACCUAGAAAAUGGAGAACCAAUCUGGCUUAAUUUAACUCUGCCAAGAAUCGCAAUAGUCCAGACAUGCUGUGCUGAAUAAAAGAGGCCUGAAAACAGCGGAAGGAGAGAGGUGCUUCUGUGGCGAAGCUGGCGUUGCUUUAGUGUGAGUUAGCUGGGUCCCUUGCCUCGGGUCUCAAGGUUGGGGUAUCUGGUACCCUCAGGGGUUCCCCAUGCAAACAGGAAUUGGGCUCAGAUGCAGGAAUUGGGGGAGGACUGGCCUGGGAAGGGCUCAGUGGCUUCUGUCUGGUCUGGCGGGAAGUGGGGAAGGAGUCAGAAGCAGGAGACUGGAGUUCCCGCUGUGACGCAGUGGAAACAAAUCUGACUAGUGUCCGGCCGCUCCCGUGGCAUAUAGAGGUUCCCAGGCUGGGGGUCGAAUCGGAGGUGCAGCUGUUGGCCUAUACCACAGCCACAGCAAUGCCAGAUCCAAGCCACUUCUGCGACCUACACCACAGCUCACGGCAACCGGAUCCUUAACCCACUGACUGAGGCCAGGGAUCGAACCCGCCACCUCAUGGUUCCUAGUCGGAUUCGUUUCCGCUGCACCACGACAGGAACUCCUCUUUGGUGGAUUUAAAUGACUUCCAGGGAGCAUCUCCGUCUGAGCCAGCACGGCUGACCCUCGUCAGUCCACCCUGUCCCCCUGUCCCCCAUGAAGUGAUCGGCUGUGUCGACCCCAAACACCAUCCCCCCUCAACACUGCUCCAUCAUAAGAGUACUGGACGGAGGUGCUGCAUCACUUAGCCCUGCAGGUGGGACUUUUUUUCCCUUUCUUGGCCACUCUGCUGCAUGUGGAGUUCCUGAGCCAGGGAUCAGAUCUGAGCCACAGUAUAGACGGAAGUCGCAGCUGUGGCAAUGCUAGAUUCUUAACCCACUGUGCCAGAUCGGGGAUCGAACCUGUGUCCCAGAGCUUCCAAGAUGCCCCUCGAUCCCGUGUUGCCACAUCAGAAACUCUCAAGGUGGGACCUGCCCACAAGUUACCUGGAAGGCAGGACUUUCCCCCUCACUUUAUAGUUGAGCCAACACGACCUUACCCAGCAGCCACUUCCUGGUGGUUUAAACCAGUGGUUCUCAUGAAAUAUGAAAAAUCAGUAGAUACAUAAGUAAAUGAAUAAAAUUGGAGUUCCCUGGUGGCUCAGUGUGUUAAGGAUCUGGUGUUGUCACUGCUGCAGGCAUAGGCUUGAUCCUGGCUUGGGAACUUCCAUGUGCUGCAGGCAUGGGCCCCAAAAUAAAUUAAAAAAAAUGCCCUAGUUGUCAGGUGGGGGUCAUUCUGCCCCCAGGGGACAUGGGCAGUGUCACGACCAGGGUGGGGGUGCUGGUGGCCUCUCUGGUUGGGGACCAGGAAUGCUGGUUAACAUCCCACGAUGCUCCGGACAGCCGCACACGGGGUUGGGAACAGUGCUGGGUGGAGACACCUGUGGGUCUUUCCUCGGGUGUCUUAGAACCAAGAGAAGGUGACAAGCCGCAGAGAUGGAAGAGCCCCCAGGGCCCCCAACUGCCUGAGUCUGCCAGUGGCCCUUGAAGGCCCGCCUGGACCCCACCUCGGUGCAGUGCAGGGGGCUCCCAGCCCAGUCUCCCGAGGGCAGGGAUCUGCAUGGCCCACCCAGGCUGGGCAUGCGUGGCCAGGCCGGCCGGCUACAGGCAGGUGUGGUGCUCACAGGGAGCCAGGCGGCGAGGGGGGUCCCAGGGAGCAGGGGCUGUCCUUGGCAGACCCCCGUCUCUGCAGGUGGGGGGGAGGCGAGAAGAAUGGGGACACUUUGGUGAGAGCUCGAAGGAAGUGCAGUUGCGCCCCUGUAAUUUGAGCCCUGAGGACCUAGGGACACAGAAGAAGCUUUACCUGGCCGCCUGGGAGCUGGUGGCAGGGGGGGACCAGGCCCCGGCCUGUCCUCAGGAGCCUGUGGACGCUGUGGGAGGGGGCGGGCCCUGUGCUGAUGGAGACCCAGGUUGGGGGGUGCACAGCCUGGAUUUGGAGGAGUGGUCCCCUGGGUGCGUGUAAAGGCUGGCCAGGAAUCAGAGAGGAGGGCCCUGGAGGAGACCCCAGCUCGUCCUGCUGGGGACGUGCCGGAGGCUCAGCGUGGCCGGCUGUGGUGUGGCCAGUGGGCCGUGGUCAGCCGCAGGGCCAGGUAGAGCAGUCCUUGGGCCCUCCUGGCUCGUGGGAGCAGCAGGUGCUGGUGACCCAUCUCAGCGACUUUACGGAGUCUGGUGUGGAAUGGACUGGAGUGGGGUGGGCCGUGAGAAAGCGGCUGGCAUGUAGGUGCAGGCAGGGUGGGCUUCCUGGAGGCAGUACCCUGGCCGGGGAAGCCGCAGGAUUCUUGAAAUGGAGAGGAGGUCAGAGGAGGCCUGGGAGGUGCAGCUGCAGGGCCUGAUACCGAGGUUGCCACCCAGAGGCUACUCUGAGCUGGAAGGAUCUUUGCAUAGAAACAGCUUAGAGGAGGCCUGGUUUUCUAGGGCCCCUGCCCUGCUCCCUGCUGCUCAGGAGGCUGGUGCACCUGGGGAGGCCUAGAGGCUGCUCAGGGCGUUUGCAUAGAGAACUGAUUGGGGCGCGUAGUGACCUUGAAGUGAUUUCCGCAUCCUCUUUUAAGCGGAUCUCAACCCUCCCCCUUCCCUUCGAAAAUAAUACUGAAGGUCCUGCUGUGUCCACUGGGAACUCUAUCUAGGCACUUAGGAUGGAGCAUGAUGACGUGAGAACGAAGAACGUACACGCGUCUGUGUGCCUGGGUCCGCUUGCUCACAGUAGAAAACGACAGAACGCCGUAAACCAGCUCUGAUGGAAAAAA